rnacentral:tRNA from 2 species
GCGGCCGUGUUGUAACUGGCAGCCAAGCGGCGCUUAGAACGCCGUGGGAGAAAUCCCGUGUGGGUUCGAGUCCCACCGGCCGCACCA